GGGGAUUUAGCUCAGUGGUAGAGCGCUUGCUUAGCAAGUGCAAGGCCCUGGGUUCGGUUCCCAGCUCCG
rnacentral:tRNA from 1 species